rnacentral:lncRNA from 1 species
ACAAAAAAAAUCAUAACAAAAAAGCAAAGAAAAGAUUAAUUUACUUUUUAUUAUUUUUCUUUCAAAUGUAACAUGCAAAUAUACAUAUAAUUAAAAUAUGAAAAAAAAAUGGUCAUUACAAAUUAAAUUAGGUAGGUAAGAACCCUGUCAAUAAUUUAACCUCAUUUACAUAUACAAUUAAAUGACCUAUUUUCUGCACAGCAUGUAAUUCUAUGAAUAUUAAAUGUUUAAAAAUGUUUCUUGUCUCGUUACUCAAAACCUUAUUGACAAGGAUCUUGGCAUCUAUCAUCUACACAAACCACUUCAAUCAUACAAUACAAUACCACACAUAGGUUUGGGUAGUUUUGUAAUGUUUUACAUAAGCUUGUUACUGGCCAUGCUUAAAUCUUAUCCCAAAAAACAAGUCUGGGGACAAGUUUUAAACAAUUUAUUCAUUACUGAGAUUACUUUGAAUUUUCAAUCUGUAGCAAAGAAGCAUUACUUUGUUUAACCAACAAAUUGACCUAUCAGUCAAGAAUUUCCUUUGAUACUUGUGUUUGACAAAACAAUAGAAUUUUUAUUUACCACAAAUCAACAGAAAUAAAAAAAUAAUCUUUGCUUCAGAUGGAUGUUUAUCUACCUAAUGAUAUUUAAUAACUUGGGAUUAUUUUUUGCAGUAGCAAAAUGUUAUAUGGCUCUCUUUUGGGUCUAAAGAAUUUACCAUACUUUAUUUAUGUACAAUAAAAAUACACAAGCUGACAAAAAAAUAUCAUAACAUUAAUUGUCAGAGAUUUUUUUCUCUUAUACCUAAAAAGACCAUUCUACACAGGGCAAUCUGGUUUACUUAACCAAAAACAGUGGAUCACUAUCAAAUUCCAUAAAUGUACGGUAUUUAAAGUGUUGUUAAGCAAAAGCAAACAAAAAAAUAUACCUUAAAAUAAAUAUAUAUAGUCUCUUGAUCAACUUGCCCUAAACUUUUUAUACUCGGAUUUCAGAGUAUUAUACAUAACUUUUUGGGGUAAUACCAGAGAAACUAAUUAUCAAGUUGUCAUAUGUCAUAUAUAUUCCUUUUUAUGAUUUAUGACAUCCAUAGUAUUUUCAUACAAAAUAUAUAUUUCCCCCAAACAAUAAUAACAAAAUAGCAUAGCAAUACAAAAUUUCUUGAACAAUCUCUUAACAUGCAUACAAUAUUACUUGCUGAAAACAUCUAUCCUAAGAAGACGUUCUAAGUUGCAAAACUUGUGUCUAAUCCUAUAGUCAAUGUUUUUGGACAAUAAAAUAUGUUUAAACUUAACCUAAUAAUCCUCAAAAUCUGAAACUUUAAAAAUGGUCUGUGCUACUUUAUUUUUUUAUUUAUUUUAAAUCAAUUCAAAUAUGAAAAUUUAAAAAUCUAGAUGAUUGCAAUUAAAUGUAAAAUCUCAAUGUAUUCAUAAUGUAUAAGUAAUCCAACUGUCCAUAUGUGAAUGAUAAAUGAAUGGAAACAGCGAAUGUGUAGGAAACAAAAACUUGACAAAAGAGCAAAAAACAGCCCAUUUUACACCAAUUAACAAAUAUUUUUUUUCUGUUCAGAUGCUUACAUCAAAGGUCACAAAUAUUAUGGGUUGCAAUGAAAAAAUCAAAUGAGAAAAAAUAAUACAAGGAUUCUUAAAGUAAAUAUACUGCAAUAGAAUUUAUUGGUAAAAUUUACAAACCAGUGCUCCGCAGGGCGCAGCUUUAUACACCGCAGACGGCGAAACCCUGACAGUUGGCAAGUAUGGACAAAAAUUCAAGGCAUGAUACAGCUUGAAUUUGGAUUUGUAUCAAAUUUACAUUACAUGGGUAUUUUUUAACACAAAACAAAUGUCAAGAUUUACAAAUCAAUUAAAGAUUUCUUCUUCAAACUUUUUAAUCUAAAAUUAAAUAGUUUGACACAGCAUAGGUUUCUGACACAAAAUGAAUGUGGUCUAAUGAACUUAAAAUUUUUUUUUUUGCCUUUGAGCAAUUCACUAUGCUGUUGAAUAUUAAUCCUCUCAAAAAAAUGUUUGAAGAAAUUUUAUUUUAUUUAUGAAAUCUGAAAUGAGAAAAAUUUAACCCCCCCCCCCCUCAUUUUUUUUCACAUCCCCGUUUCCCUUUUUCCAAAACUGAUAUCAAUUCAAAUUUCUAAUGGAGUUUGCAACAAUAACUACUCUUUUAAAUACAUCAUAAAAUAUUAAAAUGUAAAAUAAAGUGCUUGUUAUCACUGAAUGGUAAAGAUUGGUUGGUAGUAAAAGUAAAUAUACAUUGUUUAUUGUAUAAAACAAUAAAAAAAACUUCAUCAGCAACAUUUUAUAUUGCAAAAUUUCCAAUGAAGUUUAUUUACAUAAAGUUAUUGGCAAUAAAAUAGAAAAUGACAUCAUAGUCAUGUCUGGCAAAUGUCCAACAUACCAUUAUCUAAAAACAUUUUAGAAUAAGAUAAGGAAAAAAAGCUUCAUCAGCAACAUUUUAUAUUGGCAAAUUUCCAAUGAAGUUAUUUACAUAAAGUUAUUGGCAAAUAAGAAAUAAAAAUAGAAAAUGACAUCAUAGUCAUGUCUGGAAAAUUUCCAACAUAUAUUAUCAACUACUAUUCUAUACAAAGAAAGAUAACUCCAAUUGAAAAAUUAAUUGCUAUUGCACAAUAUUGUGCAAUUAGAUAUUUCUUGCUAUUUGAUAGCCAAUACGUGAAAUUGAAAAAUUUUCUUCUAUUGCACAAAUCACUAUGAUAUGGAAUCCUGAUUUAAACCAACCUUGAAACACUGGGCAUAAAUCAAAAAAUCAAAGUACAUAUUUAGAUAAAGCACAUCAAAUAAGCCCCUAAGCAAUUUAAUUUUUGUUUAAAAUCAAACUAGUUUAAUUUUGCGACCCUUUGGACCUUAAUGUUAGGAACCAAUUGAAAACUGAACCAAAAAAUUAAGAAAUCUACACACCACAGUUAGAUUGCAUUAUCAAGAACCCAAUUUAUUCAAUUUUUUGAUUGAAACAUCAAACAAAAAGUUGUAAUUUUGGAACCCCCAUAUUGGACCAACUUUGACAACACUAGGCCAAUAAUUAAAAAAUCUAAGUACAUGUUUUAAAAUUCAGCAUAAUCGAAAGAACCCCAAGGAUUCAAUUUUUGUUAAUAAUCAAAACCUAAGUUUAAUUUUGGACCUUUGGACCUUAAAUGUAGACCCAAUUGAAAACGGGACCAAAAAUUAAGAAUCUACAUACAUAUUAAGAUCGGCACAUCAAAGUGAACCCCAAUUAUCUCAAUUUUGAUGAAAUCACACAAAGUUCAAUUUUGGACCCUUUGGGCCCUUAUUUCCUAAUCUGUUGUGACCUCAACUCCAAAAAAUUCAUCCCAACCUAACCUUUUGUGGUCAUAAAUCUUGUUGUUAAAAUUUCAUUGAUUUCUAUUUACUAUACUUAAAUAUGGCAAAAACCAAGAAUAAUGCUUAUUUGGGCCCUUUUUUGGCCCUUUCAUUUCCUAAACUGUUGGAACCAAAACUCCAAAAUCUAUCCCAAACCUCUCCUUUUGGUCGAUAAACCUUGUGUUCAAAAUUCAUAGAUUUCUAUUCACUAUCAAAAACUAAAGUUAUAGUGCCGAAAACCAAGAAAAUGCUUAUAUUGCGGACCCUUUUUGGCCCCUAAUUCCUAAAUGUUGGGACCAAAACUCCCAAAAUCAAUCCGCAAACCUUCCUCUUUGUGGUCAGUUAACCUUGUGUUAAAAUUUCAAUUCGAUUUCUAUCACUUUCUAAAGUUAGAGUAGCCGAAAACUAAAAGUAUUGGACGACGAGGACGACGCAGACGACGCAGACGACGACGCCAACGUGAUAGCAAUAUACGACCAAAAAAUUAAAAUUUUUGCGGUCGUAUAAAAAGUAUUCUAGGUGCCCCUUUUUUUCCAACAAAUUGUUUUAGACAAGGACUUGUUGCUAGCAAUAUAACCAUCUGUACUAAGAGUAAAACAACAAUUUUUAUCUUCUCUUCUUAUUCUUGAAUUUAGUAUCAUUUUUCGAAUUAUAGGUUUAUUGCUCUCCAAUUUUUGUUUAUACAUUCAGCUUCACAGUAUUAAGUUUCAAACACAAUUAAUGAAAAAAAAAAAUAUUUGCCAAAUGUGCAUAUGAUGUAUUAUAAUUGAGGGUUUAGAUAUAGAAAACAAGUUAGGAAAAGAAAAAGAAAAAGAAGAGAAUAAAGCUAAAAUAUCAAGAAAAGAGAAAAUUAGAUAAAAUAUAGAAAGAAAAGAGAAAAAUGGCCAUAUUCAACCUUGAAUUACAUAAUUUUGCUUUAUAUGUGAUACAGGUUGGCAGUUGUAUAACAUUGAUGUGCAAUACUUUUAAGAAUAAAGUCUCAACACAGAAACAAAUGAAGGCUUUUCCAUGCCAACCGAUGGAGUGCUAUAAGUUUUGCAACUGAUCCCCUAUAGAGGAUACAAUUUUGCAUAUAAACUUCAACAUCUUAAUAUCAAGAAGUGUUGAUGAAAAGACAGGAUAAUCUGCUUCCAAGAAGCAGCUUUUUUUAGUUUACAUAUGUUUCUAAAUGUUAUGUGACACUAUCUAAAAACUAUGGAUGAUCCAAUUAUAUGAGUUAUAAAAUUAAAAUAUAUUACAUCAAAUUUAAUGUUCAACUGAUAGUAAAUACUUUCAGGUGAAAAAAAAAAAACUACAAUUUUAAAGUUUGACAAAGAUACUUUUUCUCUCAACUAAAAAAACCUUCAAAAUCUCAAUUUAAGAACAAGAAUUGUAGGACAGAAAUAUGAAUAUGAUGUUUCUCUUCAAAUUUACUGAUAAAAUUGAUUUGUUCCAUAAACAUAACUUUCCAGUCUUGUACACUGUUGAGAGACAACACUUUACAUAUUAAUUAUUGAAGAUCCAACUCGUAAUUAACAAUAAUAUGCACCUCAUAUAUAAUAUAUACAGUGAGCAAAUAAAGUCGUGGUUGUUAUAUCUACCUGAGAAAAUAAAGUAAUGUGAGAUUUUAUUUCCACCAAAUGUAUUUACACAACAUAUCACUGGUGUUUUCACAGUAAAACCACUUGGGUACUGAUGGUAAAGAAGGCAUGAUUAUUAUCUGCCCUUUAAGUAUCCGAUUAAAAGGGGUAGGUUUCUAACAUAUGUUUUCCAUCCAUGCAACUUGAUAAAACAAGAGUGCACACGCUGAAAUGUCUCGCCUUCUUUACUAAUCAUUAUAUGAUGUUGAUAGUCCUAAGUAUAAAGCUUUAUUA